rnacentral:tRNA from 1 species
GGGGUGUUAGUCCAAAAAAGACAACUGAUUUCGACUUAGUUAAUUAUGGUUUAAAUCCAUAAUACCCCU